rnacentral:rRNA from 1 species
UACGUAGGGACCAAGCGUUGUUCGGAUUUACUGGGCGUAAAGGGCGCGUAGGCGGCGUGGUAAGUCACUUGUGAAAUCUCGGAGCUUAACUCAGAACGGCCAAGUGAUACUGCUGUGCUAGAGUGCAGAAGGGGCAAUCGGAAUUCUUGGUGUAGCGGUGAAAUGCGUAGAUAUCAAGAGGAACACCUGAGGUGAAGACGGGUUGCUGGGCUGACACUGACGCUGAGGCGCGAAAGCGUGGGGAGCAAACAGG